GAUGAAGAACGUAGCGAAAUGCGAUAAGUAGUGUGAAUUGCAGAAUUCAGUGAAUCAUCGAAUCUUUGAACGCACAUUGCGCCCCUUGGUAUUCCAUGGGGCAUGUCUGUUCGAGCGUCAUUUGUACCUUCAAGCUUUGCUUGGUGUUGGGUGUUUGUCCUGAGGGACUCGCCUUAAAGUAAUUGGCAGCCAGUGUUUGGUUUUGAAGCGCAGCACAAGUCGCGAUUCAAGGCUAUACACCAGCUUCCACAAGCCUUUUUCACUUUUGACCUCGGAUCAGGUAGGGAUACCCGCUGAACUUAAGCAUAUCAAUAAGCGGAGGA
rnacentral:misc_RNA from 1 species